GCAAGUCGAACGAGAUCUUCGGAUCUAGUGGCGGACGGGUGCGUAACGCGUGGGAAUAUACCCUUAGGUACGGAAUAACUCACCGAAAGGUGUGCUAAUACCGUAUAAUGACUUCGGUCCAAAGAUUUAUCGCCUAAGGAUUAGCCCGCGUUAGAUAAGUUUGUUGGUGGGGUAAUGGCCUACCAAGACUACGAUCUAUAGCUGGUCUGAGAGGAUGAUC
rnacentral:rRNA from 1 species